rnacentral:rRNA from 1 species
ACGAACGCUGGCGGCGUGCUUAACACCUGCAAGUCGAACGGUGAAGGGAUCAGCUUGCUGGUCCUGGAUGAGUGGCGAACGGGUGAGUAACACGUGAGUAACCUGCCCCCUUCUUCUGGAUAACCGCAUGAAAGUGUGGCUAAUACGGGAUAUUCUGCGCCUGCUGCAUGGUGGGUGUGGGAAAGAUAUUGUUUCGGUGGGGGAUGGGCUCGCGGCCUAUCAGCUUGUUGGUGGGGUGAUGGCCUACCAAGGCGGUGACGGGUAGCCGGCCUGAGAGGGUGGACGGUCACACUGGGACUGAGACACGGCCCAGACUCCUACGGGAGGCAGCAGUGGGGAAUAGUGCACAAUGGGCGCAAGCCUGAUGCAGCGACGCCGCGUGAGGGAUGGAGGCCUUCGGGUUGUGAACCUCUUUCGCCAGUGAAGCAGGCCUGUCCCUUGUGGGUGGGUUGACGGUAGCUGGAUAAGAAGCGCCGGCUAACUACGUG